UCACCAGUUUGACAUUAAAGAGAACGUUCGCGGUACAGGCGUUGCAUGGUUGUCGUCAGCUCGUGCCUUGAGGUGUUCGGUUAAGUCCGUGAACGAGCGCAACCCCGUCUAUGUUUUUUCAUGGAGACUGCCCGUUAAACCGGGAGGAAGGAGAGGAUGACGUCAAAUCAGCAUGACCCUUAUACUGGGCUACACCCGCGUUACAAUGGGGUACAACUGGCACAGUAAUGGGAGCAAUCGGAAACCGUCUUAGUUCGGAUUGAGGUCUGAAACUCGACCUCAUGAAGCUGGAAUCGCUAGUAACCGUAAUCAGCAUGUACGGUGAAUAUGUUCCUGGGUCUUGUACUCACCGCCCGUCAAGGCAUGGGAGUCAGGGGCCGAA
rnacentral:rRNA from 1 species